rnacentral:rRNA from 1 species
GUGAGGAAUUUUCCGCAAUGGGCGAAAGCCUGACGGAGCAAUGCCGCGUGAAGGAUGAAGGCCUAUGGGUUGUAAACUUCUUUUCUCAGAAAAGAAUUAUGACGGUAUCUGAGGAAUAAGCAUCGGCUAACUCUGUGUCAGCAGCCGCGGUAAGACAGAGGAUGCAAGCGUUAUCCGGAAUGAUUGGGCGUAAAGCGUCUGUAGGUUGUUUAAAAAGUAUUCUGUCAAAGAUUAGGGCUUAACCCUAGAUAGGCAGAAUAAACUUUUAAGCUAGAGUUUGGUAGAGGCAGAGGGAAUUCCCGGUGGAGCGGUGAAAUGCGUAGAUAUCGGGAGGAACACCAAAGGCGAAGGCACUCUGCUGGGCCAAUACUAACACUGAGAGACGAAAGCGAGGGGAGCAAAUGGGAUUAGAAACCCGUGUAGUCC